rnacentral:rRNA from 1 species
GACGAACGCUGGCGGCGUGCCUAAUACAUGCAAGUUGAGCGCUGAAGGUUGGUACUUGUACCAACUGGAUGAGCAGCGAACGGGUGAGUAACGCGUGGGGAAUCUGCCUUUGAGCGGGGGACAACAUUUGGAAACGAAUGCUAAUACCGCAUAAAAACUUUAAACACAAGUUUUAAGUUUGAAAGAUGCAAUUGCAUCACUCAAAGAUGAUCCCGCGUUGUAUUAGCUAGUUGGUGAGGUAAAGGCUCACCAAGGCGAUGAUACAUAGCCGACCUGAGAGGGUGAUCGGCCACAUUGGGACUGAGACACGGCCCAAACUCCUACGGGAGGCAGCCGGAGGGAAUCUUCGGCAAGGGACGAAAGUCUGACCGAGCAACGCCGCGUGAGUGAAGAAGGUUUUCGGAUCGUAAAACUCUGUUGGUAGAGAAGAACGUUGGUGAGAGUGGAAAGCUCAUCAAGUGACGGUAACUACCCAGAAAGGGACGGCUAACUACGUG